AGAACCGGGGGCAACUCCGGGAGUAAAGCGGCGAAAGGGUGAGGAAAUUAUCGACAAUCUACCCUGGGGACCGGGACAACGGCUGGAAACGGCCGCUAAUACCGGAUGGCCUCACGACGGGGCAUCCUGUUGUGAGUAAAGGUGGGGACCUUCGGGCCUUCCACCCCAGGAGGAGUCGAUGACCUAUCAGCUAGUUGGCGGGGUAAUGGCCCACCAAGGCGACGACGGGUAGCCGGACUGAGAGGUUGGCCGGUCACACUGGGACUGAGACACUGCCCAGACUCCUACGGGAGGCUGCAGUCGCGAAUCUUCCGCAAUGGGCGAAAGCCUGACGGAGCGACGCCGCGUGUGGGAUGAAGGCCUUCGGGUUGUAAACCACUGUCACGCGUUAUGAACACCGGGGAGACAACAUCAAUCCGGAUGACAAAGGCGCGAGAGGAAGCCACGGCUAACUCUGUGCCAGCAGCCGCGGUAAGACAGAGGUGGCAAGCGUUGCUCGGAGUUACUGGGCUUAAAGGGCGCGUAGGCGGUCGUGCACGUCGGUGGUGAAAUCCCCGGGCUCAACCCGGGAACUGCCUUCGAUACGGCGCGACUCGAGUGUGGGAGGGGAGAGUGGAACUCCUGGUGGAGCGGUGAAAUGCGUAGAUAUCAGGAGGAACGCCGGUGGCGAAAGCGACUCUCUGGACCACAACUGACGCUGAGGCGCGAAAGCCAGGGGAGCAAACGGGAUUAGAUACCCCGGUAGUCCUGGCCCUAAACGAUGAGCACUAUGUAGUGGCAAGUCCGACUUGUCACUGCUGA
rnacentral:rRNA from 1 species